AACGGGUGAGUAACACGUGGGUGACCUGCCUCCGAGCGGGGGAUAACGUCCCGAAAGGGACGCUAAUACCGCAUAACAUCCUGCCUUUUAAGAGGUGGAGAUCAUUCUCUGGGGAUCGCAAGACCUGGCACUUGAAGAGGGGCCCGCGCCUGAUUAGCUAGUUGGUGGGGUAAUGGCUCACCAAGGCAACGAUCAGUAUCCGGCCUGAGAGGGCGGACGGACACACUGGGACUGAGACACGGCCCAGACUCCUACGGGAGGCAGCAGUGGGGAAUUGUUCGCAAUGGGCGCAAGCCUGACGACGCAACGCCGCGUGGAGGAUGAAGACCUUCGGGUCGUAAACUCCUUUCGAUCGAGACGAAUGGUUUCCGGGUGAACAAUCCGGAGAAGUGACGGU
rnacentral:rRNA from 1 species